rnacentral:rRNA from 1 species
AGGGAACCGCCUGAACUGAAACAUCUAAGUAGGGCGAGGAAGAGACAUCAAACGAGAUUCCGUAAGUAGUGGCGAGCGAACGCGGAAGAGGGCAAACCGAGAGUAGAAAUACUUUCGGGGUACGGACUGCUUUUAAGACUUAAUCUGUUAACCGAACGGCAUGGGAAGGCCGGUCAGAGAGUGUGAGAACCACGUAGGUGAAAACGGAGAGAGCUGCGCAGGAUCCAGAGUACGGCCAGACACGUGAAACCUGGUCGGAAUACGGGGGGACCACCCUCCAACCCUAAAUACUACCCAGUGACCGAUAGCGUAUAGUACUGUGAAGGAAAGGUGAAAAGCACCCCGGGAGGGGAGUGAAAAAGAACCUGAAACCCUGUGCCUACAAGCACCUAGAGCGCGUCAAAGCGUGAUAGGGUACUUUUUGUAGAACGGUCCGGCGAGCGAUUGUAUGCAGCAAGGUUAAGGACUUAAGGUCUGGAGCCGAAGCGAAAGCGAGUUUGAAAAGGGCGUUAAGUUGCAUAUAAUGGGCCCGAAACCGGGUGACCUACCCAUGGUCAGGUUGAAGUGGAAGUAAAAUUCCAUGGAGGACCGAACCGACCUCCGUUGAAAAGGCGGCGGAUGAACUGUGGGUAGCGGAGAAAUUCCAAUCGAACCCGGAGAUAGCUGGUUCUCCCCGAAAUAGUUUUAGGACUAGCCUCAAGUUAGAUACCUGGAGGUAAAGCACUGAAUAGCCUAGCGGCCGAGAGGUUAGCGAAGCUUAUCAAACUCAGAAUGCCAGAGUAUUGAUGCUUGGGAGUCAGACAGUGUCAGAUAAAUGUCAUUGUCAAAAGGGAAACAGCCCAGAUCUACAGCUAAGGUCCCAAAGUCAGGUUAAGUGGAAAACGAUGUGAAGAUACGCAGACAACCAGGAUGUUGGCUCAGAAGCAGCCACUCAUUCAAAGAGUGCGUAAUAGCUCACUGGUCGAGCGUCUUUGCGCGGAGAAUUUAACGGGGCUAAACCUGACACCGAAGCUUAGGCAAUGCACGUAAGUGUAUUGGGUAGGGGAGCGUUGUAUACGCGGAGAAACAGUAGCGCAAGCGGCUGUGGAGUGUAUAGAAGUGAGAAUGCCGGAAUGAGUAGCGCGAAUGCAGUGAGAAUCUGCAUGGCCGAAAGCCUCAGGUUUCUGGAGGAAGGUUCGUCCGCUCCAGGUUAGUCGGGAGCUAAGGUGAGGCCGAAAGGCGUAGCCGAUGCACAGACGGUAGAGAUUCCGUCACCACCAAAAGAGUUAAGCACAGGGACACAUAUGAAGUCUCAGAGCCGGGUGUUGGUUCCGGUAGAGAUCGAGGGAAAUUAGUACCGAAGUCUGAGAUGGAAGAUGGCGAGAAAAGCUGUGUGUAUUUCUGAGGUGCCCGUACCGCAAACCGACACAGGUAGGUAGGAAGAAGAUUCUAAGGCCAACGGGAGAAGGGUUGUUAAGGAACUCGGCAAAUUGACCCCGUAACUUCGGGAGAAGGGGUGCUCCAGAGAUGGAGCCGCAGAGAAUCGGCCCAAGCAACUGUUUACCAAAAACACAGGUUUGUGCUAAAUCGAAAGAUGACGUAUACGAGCUGACGCCUGCCCGGUGCUGGAAGGUUAAGAGGAGAUGUGCAAGCAUUGAAUCGAAGCCCCAGUGAACGGCGGCCGUAACUAUAACGGUCCUAAGGUAGCGAAAUUCCUUGUCAGGUAAGUUCUGACCCGCAUGAAAGGCGUAAUGAUUUGGGCACUGUCUCAACAGCCCGCCCGGCGAAAUUGUAGUACCGGUGAAGAUGCCGGUUACCCGCGACAAGACGGAAAGACCCCAUGGAGCUUUACUGUAGCCUAAUAUUGGGUUUCGAUGUUGCAUGCACAGGAUAGAUGGGACUCUUGGAAACCAAGGCUUUGGCUUUGGCGGAGAGGCCGUUGGGAUACCAUCCUUGCGAUAUUGGAAUUCUAACCUGCGGCUCUGAAUCGAGUCGGGGGACAUUGUUAGGUGGGCAGUUUGACUGGGGCGGUCGCCUCCUAAAGAGUAACGGAGGCGUUCAAAGGUUCGCUCAGCUUGAACGGAAAUCAAGCAAAAGAGUGCAAACGCAGAAGCGAGCCUAACUGCGAGACUGACGGGUCGAGCAGUAACGAAAGUUGGAGUUAGUGAUCCGGUGGUAUGUGAGUGGAAAUGCCAUCGCUCAACGGAUAAAAGUUACCCUGGGGAUAACAGGCUGAUCUCCCCCAAGAGUCCACAUCGACGGGGAGGUUUGGCACCUCGAUGUCGGCUCAUC